rnacentral:rRNA from 1 species
AGAGUUUGAUCCUGGCUCAGGAUGAACGCUAGCGACAGGCUUAACACAUGCAAGUCGAGGGGCAGCAUGAUUUGUAGCAAUACAGAUUGAUGGCGACCGGCGCACGGGUGAGUAACGCGUAUGCAACUUACCUAUCAGAGGGGGAUAGCCCGGCGAAAGUCGGAUUAAUACCCCAUAAAACAGGGGUCCCGCAUGGGAAUAUUUGUUAAAGAUUCAUCGCUGAUAGAUAGGCAUGCGUUCCAUUAGGCAGUUGGCGGGGUAACGGCCCACCAAACCGACGAUGGAUAGGGGUUCUGAGAGGAAGGUCCCCCACAUUGGUACUGAGACACGGACCAAACUCCUACGGGAGGCAGCAGUGAGGAAUAUUGGUCAAUGGCCGAGAGGCUGAACCAGCCAAGUCGCGUGAAGGAAGAAGGAUCUAUGGUUUGUAAACUUCUUUUAUAGGGGAAUAAAGUGGAGGACGUGUCCUUUUUUGUAUGUACCCUAUGAAUAAGCAUCGGCUAACUCCGUGCCAGCAGCCGCGGUAAUACGGAGGAUGCGAGCGUUAUCCGGAUUUAUUGGGUUUAAAGGGUGCGUAGGUGGUGAUUUAAGUCAGCGGUGAAAGUUUGUGGCUCAACCAUAAAAUUGCCGUUGAAACUGGGUUACUUGAGUGUGUUUGAGGUAGGCGGAAUGCGUGGUGUAGCGGUGAAAUGCAUAGAUAUCACGCAGAACUCCGAUUGCGAAGGCAGCCUGCUGGGAUACAACUGACGCUGAGGCACGAAAGCGUGGGUAUCGAACAGGAUUAGAUACCCUGGUAGUCCACGCAGUAAACGAUGAAUACUAACUGUUUGCGAUACAAUGUAAGCGGUACAGCGAAAGCGUUAAGUAUUCCACCUGGGGAGUACGCCGGCAACGGUGAAACUCAAAGGAAUUGACGGGGGCCCGCACAAGCGGAGGAACAUGUGGUUUAA